UACCCGCAGCACAAGUGGUGGUCAUUAUUAUUGGGCCUAAAGCGUCCGUAGCUGGCUUGUUAGAUGCCUGGGUAAAUCGAUGCGCUCAACGUAUCGAACUCCGGGUAGACCGGCAAGCUUGGGACCGGGAGAGGCGUGAGCUACUCGAGGGGUAGGGGUAAAAUCCUGUAAUCCUUCAGGGAGGACCAGUGGCGAAGGCGUCACGCUAGAACGGCUCCGACAGUGAGGGACGAAGCCCUGGGGCGCAAACCGG
rnacentral:rRNA from 1 species